rnacentral:snoRNA from 1 species
CAGUCAUAAUGAGGAAAACCUAUAUUUUUCUGAUCUAUUUGAUGAGACUCCUACUCAUUCUGA